AUGUUGAGUGACGUGCGGCCCCCCACGCUGACCAUCUUCCCCCCCUCCAAAGAGCAGCUGCAGACUGGCAGUGCCACGGCGGUGUGCGUGGCCAGCGGAGGCUCGCCUCAGGCCUGGACCCUGGGCUGGAAGGUGGGGGGCAGCAGCAGCACCUCGGGGGUGUCACACAGCUCGGACGAGGCCACCGGCGACGGUCGCUACAGCUGGACCAGCACCCUGAGCCUCAAGGCCGACCGCUGGAGCACGGCCGGCUCGGUGAGCUGCGAGGCCACCAUGCAGGGUCAGAACCCCGUGACCCAAACCCUGAUGGACCCGGGCCGCUGCUCAGAGUAGAAGCUGAGACGCCCGUUCUUGUUUUUAUUGCUUCCUGUUUCUUACUGCUUGAUGCCGGAGAACUUGGCGCAGAACCUCAACAUUUAAGCAUUGUUCAAUAAAAUGUCCACGGUCA